CCACACCAUGGUUCGUUCUUGUUUAUUGUUUCGUAGAAAACAGGUUCUUUAACACUUUGUACGAACAUCUCACAAACUGCUGCUCCUAGAUUACAAAAUGUCAAAGCCAAUUUUCUUUGACACUAGGCCCUUGAAUCUGACAUUCAAGUCACCAAAUAGAAACC